rnacentral:lncRNA from 1 species
CAAUGAACAAUGUUUCUCUUAUAAUCGUUGUUUUUUUGCAGUAAUUAAUCAUAUUUUGAAUGAUGAGAUUAGGGAGAUUUAGUUUCUUGCACUAGAGAAGAUGGUAAAUGACCAUAGCAUCAUUGUUUGAGAUAUAUUCAUGGCUACCAUAGUGAGGUAGAAUUGAAUGUUGACUUAUGUUGUUGAAUGUUUUGGGGAGAGGUUUGAGAUCAGUAGAAACAAAAUUGGUGGAGCUAGG